rnacentral:rRNA from 1 species
GUCUGUGGCCAUACCACCCUGAACACACCCGAUCUCGUCUGAUCUCGGUCAGGCCUGGUUAGUACUUGGAUAGGAGACCACCUGGGAAUACCGGGUGCUGUAGGCU